GAUCCUGGCUCAGGAUGAACGCUGGCGGCGUGCCUAAUACAUGCAAGUCGAACGCACAGCGAAAGGUGCUUGCACCUUUCAAGUGAGUGGCGAACGGGUGAGUAACACGUGGACAACCUGCCUCAAGGCUGGGGAUAACAUUUGGAAACAGAUGCUAAUACCGAAUAAAACUUAGUGUCGCAUGACACAAAGUUAAAAGGCGCUUCGGCGUCGCCUAGAGAUGGAUCCGCGGUGCA
rnacentral:rRNA from 1 species